rnacentral:rRNA from 1 species
UGCAAGUCGAACGCUUCUUUUCCCACCGGAGCUUGCUCCACCGGGAAAAGAGGAGUGGCGAACGGGUGAGUAACACGUGGGUAACCUGCCCAUCAGAAGGGGAUAACACUUGGAAACAGGUGCUAAUACCGUAUAACAAUCGAAACCGCAUGGUUUCGUUUUGAAAGGCGCUUUACGGUGCCGCUGAUGGAUGGACCCGCGGUGCAUUAGCUAGUUGGUGAGGUAACGGCUCACCAAGGCCACGAUGCAUAGCCGACCUGAGAGGGUGAUCGGCCACAUUGGGACUGAGACACGGCCCAAACUCCUACGGGAGGCAGCAGUAGGGAAUCUUCGGCAAUGGACGAAAGUCUGACCGAGCAACGCCGCGUGAGUGAAGAAGGUUUUCGGAUCGUAAAACUCUGUUGUUAGAGAAGAACAAGGGUGAGAGUAACUGUUCACCCCUUGACGGUAUCUAACCAGAAAGCCACGGCUAACUACGUGCCAGCAGCCGCGGUAAUACGUAGGUGGCAAGCGUUGUCCGGAUUUAUUGGGCGUAAAGCGAGCGCAGGCGGUUUCUUAAGUCUGAUGUGAAAGCCCCCGGCUCAACCGGGGAGGGUCAUUGGAAACUGGGAGACUUGAGUGCAGAAGAGGAGAGUGGAAUUCCAUGUGUAGCGGUGAAAUGCGUAGAUAUAUGGAGGAACACCAGUGGCGAAGGCGGCUCUCUGGUCUGUAACUGACGCUGAGGCUCGAAAGCGUGGGGAGCAAACAGGAUUAGAUACCCUGGUAGUCCACGCCGUAAACGAUGAGUGCUAAGUGUUGGAGGGUUUCCGCCCUUCAGUGCUGCAGCUAACGCAUUAAGCACUCCGCCUGGGGAGUACGACCGCAAGGUUGAAACUCAAAGGAAUUGACGGGGGCCCGCACAAGCGGUGGAGCAUGUGGUUUAAUUCGAAGCAACGCGAAGAACCUUACCAGGUCUUGACAUCCUUUGACCACUCUAGAGAUAGAGCUUCCCCUUCGGGGGCAAAGUGACAGGUGGUGCAUGGUUGUCGUCAGCUCGUGUCGUGAGAUGUUGGGUUAAGUCCCGCAACGAGCGCAACCCUUAUUGUUAGUUGCCAUCAUUUAGUUGGGCACUCUAGCAAGACUGCCGGUGACAAACCGGAGGAAGGUGGGGAUGACGUCAAAUCAUCAUGCCCCUUAUGACCUGGGCUACACACGUGCUACAAUGGGAAGUACAACGAGUCGCGAAGUCGCGAGGCUAAGCUAAUCUCUUAAAGCUUCUCUCAGUUCGGAUUGUAGGCUGCAACUCGCCUACAUGAAGCCGGAAUCGCUAGUAAUCGCGGAUCAGCACGCCGCGGUGAAUACGUUCCCGGGCCUUGUACACACCGCCCGUCACACCACGAGAGUUUGUAACACCCGAAGUCGGUGAGGUAACCUUUUUGGAGCCAGCCG